rnacentral:lncRNA from 1 species
AGUGGAUAGGGAUAAAUUAGUUUCCAUUUGAAUUCAAAAUUUGAUUUGAAUUCAAAUGUGCAAUUACUCAUCUUUAUCCUCUCACGUGGAUAAGACCUUGGUUGUUGUUUUAAAAGGAGGAGAAGAGUGGGGUGUGUGCAAAAAAAAUUUUGAAGAGAAAAUCUGGGUGUGAGGAAUCCUUGUGUGCAAGGUGAAGGUCAAU